rnacentral:ncRNA from 1 species
UAAAAGUUUUAUUCUAGCUAUGGAAUUUCUUGUUUUGUUGGUUCACAUGUAAGGUUUUCUGGGAUGCCCCUUGGGUCUUAAGGACUGGGCAAAUAAUUUAAUCGCAGUGUUUUGUAUUAAGCAUCAAGGAAACUUGGAGUUAGCAAUUGAAAUAGUCCCGGCAAAAUUCGUGCCAGCCGCCGCGGUUACACGAAAGGGGCAAAGAUAUUUUAUUGGUUUGUAAUUAAUUGGGGUUGGAGGUUGGAAUAGGUGUUUUGUUAGGUGGAAUUUUAAAAUUUUUGUUAGCCAGAUUAUAUUGGAUGAAGUUGCGAAAUUUGGUGGAGAGACUAGGAUUAGAUACCCUAUUAUCCCAAAUGUUAAAAGAGGGCCCGAGUAGUAAGAGAUAAGGUCUUGAAACUCAAAGAAUUUGGCGGUGUUUUAGUCCAUUCAGAGGAAUCUGUCCCGUGAUCGAUAUUCCACGUUUACUUAACUUAGGUUUGUUGUCAGCUUGUAUACCGCCGUUAAAAGAGUGAUUCUAGAGAAUAUCCUCAACGCCCCACAAUAGGGUUUAUAUCAGGUCAAGGUGCAGCUUAUGCUUAAGGGGAGAUGGAUUACAAUAAGGAUACUUAAACGGAAGGUUAUUUGGAAGAAUGACCGGAAGGUGGAUUUGAGUGUAAUAAGGUUUAAGGAAAUUUUGUGAAAGCGGCUCUAAAACAAGCACACAUCGCCCGUCGCUCUCGUUUGUUAAGGCGAGAUAAGUCGUAACAAAGUAGAUGUACCGGAAGGUGCCUCUAGAAAGUC